rnacentral:rRNA from 1 species
CCUACGAGUGGCAGCAGUGAGGAAUAUUGGUCAAUGGACGAGAGGCUGAACCAGCCAAGUAGCGUGAGGGAAGAAUGUCCUAUGGAUUGUAAACUUCUUUUGUCAGGGAGUAAAGUCACCCACGUGUGGGUGUUGGAGAGUACCUGAAGAAUAAGCAUCGGCUAACUCCGUGCCAGCAGCCGCGGUAAUACGGAGGAUGCGAGCGUUAUCCGGAUUUAUUGGGUUUAAAGGGAGCGUAGGCGGGUUAGUAAGUCAGGUGUAAAAUUUUGGGGGUCAAACGUAAAAUUGCAGUUGAAACUGGCAGCCUUGAGUACAGGUGAGGUAGGCGGAAUUCGUGGUGUAGCGGUGAAAUGCUUAGAUAUCACGAAGAACUCCGAUUGCGAAGGCAGCCUACUAAACUGCCACUGACACUGAUGCUCGAAAGUGUGGGUAUCAAACAGGAUUAGAUACCCUGGUAGUC